rnacentral:rRNA from 1 species
UCCGUGCCAGCAGCCGCGGUAAUACGGAGGGUGCAAGCGUUGUCCGGAAUCAUUGGGUGUAAAGGGUGCGUAGGCGGGCGUCUAAGUCUGGGGUGAAAUCUUGCCGCUUAACGGUAAAAUGGCCUUGGAUACUGGGCGUCUUGAGUGUAGAAGAGGCAGGUGGAAUUCGUAGUGUAGCGGUGAAAUGCAUAGAUAUUACGAAGAACAUCAGUGGCGAAGGCGGCUUACUGGUCUACAACUGACGCUGAGGCACGAAAGCGUGGGGAGCGAACAGGAUUAGAUACCCUGGUAGUCCACGCCGUAAACGAUGUCUACUAGCCGUUGGGGAACUUGAUUCUUUAGUGGCGCAGCUAACGCACUAAGUAGACCGCCUGGGGAGUACGGCCGCAAGGUUAAAACUCAAAUGAAUUGACGGGGGCCCGCACAAGCG